UACGUAGGGGGCAAGCGUUGUCCGGAUUUAUUGGGCGUAAAGCGCUCGCAGGUGGUUCGAUGCGUCGUGCGUGAAAGACCCCGGCUCAACUGGGGGGUGUCGUGCGAUACGGUCGGACUGGAGGCCAGUAGGGGGAUGCGGAAUUCCGGGUGUAGUGGUGGAAUGCGUAGAGAUCCGGAGGAACACCAGCGGCGAAGGCGGCAUCCUGGACUGGUCCUGACACUCAUGAGCGAAAGCGUGGGGAGCGAGCCGG
rnacentral:rRNA from 1 species